ACUGCAGCCUUGACCUCCUGGGCCUACGUGAUCCUCCCACCUCAGCCUCCAGAGUAGCUAGGACCACAAGCCUGCACCACCAUGCCUGGCUAAUGUAUUUAUUUAUUUUUAGAGGUGGGGUCUUACUAUGUUGUCCAGGCUGGUCUCUGAAAUUCCUGGGCUCAAGCAAGUCUCCCGCCCCAGCCUCCCAAACUACUGGGAUUACUGGUGUGAGCCACCAUGCCCGGCCACCCACACCUUCUGACGCAUCUUCUAUCUGCUUUCCGGACAGGUUCAUGACAUCUUCUAUCCCUUCCCCCAAUCAGAGGGAGAUGACGAGCUCUGCUUUCUCCGCGCCAAUGAAUGCAAGACCGGCUUCUGCCAUUUGUACAAAGUCACCGCUGUUUUAAAAUCCCAGGGCUACGAUUGGAGUGAGCCCUUCAGCCCCGGGGAAGAUGAAUUUAAGUGCCCCAUUAAGGAAGAGAUUGCUCUGACCAGUGGUGAAUGGGAGGUUUUGGCGAGGCACGGCUCCAAGAUCUGGGUCAAUGAGGAGACCAAGCUGGUGUACUUCCAGGGCACCAAGGACACGCCGCUGGAGCACC
rnacentral:sRNA from 1 species